GAUGAAGAACGCAGCGAAAUGCGAUAAGUAGUGUGAAUUGCAGAAUCCAGUGAAUCAUCGAAUCUUUGAACGCACAUUGCGCCCGCCAGCAUUCUGGCGGGCAUGCCUGUUCGAGCGUCAUUUCAACCCUCGACCUCCCCUUGGGGAGGUCGGCGUUGGGGACCGGCAGCACACCGCCGGCCCUGAAAUGGAGUGGCGGCCCGUCUGCGGCGACCUCUGCGUAGUAAUACAGCUCGCACCGGAACCCCGACGCGGCCACGCCGUAAAACACCCAACUUCUGAACGUUGACCUCGAAUCAGGUAGGACUACCCGCUGAACUUAAGCAUAUCAAUAAGCGGAGGA
rnacentral:misc_RNA from 1 species